UCUCGGUCAACCCGAGCAGUCUCGUGUGACACUUGUAACACACAACGGGGGUUGCGCUCGUUUCCCCACUUAAGGGAACCAGUCACCUGACGAGCUGACGACAGCCGUGCAGCACCUGUCCAGCACCCUCGAAGGCGGCUAACCUUUCGGAAAGCUUGCAGCUGGAUUUCAAACCCUGGUGAGGUUUUUCGCUCAGUGUCGAAUUGAACCACAUGAUCCACCGCUUGUGCGAACUCCCGCCUAUUCCUUUGAGUUUUAAUCUUGCGAUCGUACUUCCCAGGCGGCACAUUUAACGCGUUAGCUACGCCACAGGAAGGGUCGAUGCUCCCUAUAGCUAAUGUGCAACGUUUAGGGCGUGGACUA
rnacentral:misc_RNA from 1 species